rnacentral:rRNA from 1 species
CAGCCGCCGCGGGAAUACGUAGGUCCCGAGCGUUGUCCGGAUUUAUUGGGCGUAAAGCGAGCGCAGGCGGUUAGAUAAGUCUGAAGUUAAAGGCUGAGGCUUAACCAUAGUACGCUUUGGAAACUGUUUAACUUGAGUGCAAGAGGGGAGAGUGGAAUUCCAUGUGUAGCGGUGAAAUGCGUAGAUAUAUGGAGGAACACCGGUGGCGAAAGCGGCUCUCUGGCUUGUAACUGACGCUGAGGCUCGAAAGCGUGGGGAGCAAACAGGAUUAGAUACCCGCGUAGUCCCUGUCUCUUAUACA